GUGAGACAGGUGCUGCAUGGCUGUCGUCAGCUCGUGUUGUGAAAUGUUGGGUUAAGUCCCGCAACGAGCGCAACCCUUAUCCUUUGUUGCCAGCGGUCCGGCCGGGAACUCAAAGGAGACUGCCAGUGAUAAACUGGAGGAAGGUGGGGAUGACGUCAAGUCAUCAUGGCCCUUACGACCAGGGCUACACACGUGCUACAAUGGCGCAUACAAAGAGAAGCGAUCUCGCGAGAGCAAGCGGACCUCAUAAAGUGCGUCGUAGUCCGGAUUGGAGUCUGCAACUCGACUCCAUGAAGUCGGAAUCGCUAGUAAUCGUGGAUCAGAAUGCCACGGUGAAUACGUUCCCGGGCCUUGUACACACCGCCCGUCACACCAUGGGAGUGGGUUGCAAAAGAAGUAGGUAGCUUAACCUUCGGGAGGGCGCUUACCACUUUGUGAUUCAUGACUGGGGUGAAGUCGUAACAAGGUAACCGUAGGGGAACCUGCGGUUGGAUCACCUCCUUA
rnacentral:rRNA from 1 species